AUUGAACGCUGGCGGCAUGCCUUACACAUGCAAGUCGAACGGUAACAGGUCUUCGGAUGCUGACGAGUGGCGAACGGGUGAGUAAUACAUCGGAACGUGCCCGAUCGUGGGGGAUAACGGAGCGAAAGCUUUGCUAAUACUGCAUAAGAUCUACGGAUGAAAGCAGGGGACCGCAAGGCCUUGCGCGAACGGAGCGGCCGAUGGCAGAUUAGGUAGUUGGUGGGAUAAAAGCUUACCAAGCCGACGAUCUGUCGCUGGUCUGAGAGGACGACCAGCCACACUGGGACUGAGACACGGCCCAGACUCCUACGGGAGGCAGCAGUGGGGAAUUUUGGACAAUGGGCGCAAGCCUGAUCCAGCCAUGCCGCGUGCAGGAUGAAGGCCUUCGGGUUGUAAACUGCUUUUGUACGGAACGAAAAGACUCUUUCUAAUAAAGAGGGUCCAUGACGGUACCGUAAGAAUAAGCACCGGCUAACUACGUGCCAGCAGCCGCCGUAAGAC
rnacentral:rRNA from 1 species